rnacentral:tRNA from 1 species
GUCCAAGGAUGGGAAUCGAACACACAGUGUUCCGCUUACCGGGCAGAUGCCAUGUCCACUAGGCUACCCUGGA